rnacentral:lncRNA from 1 species
UCCCGGCCAUCCACGCGGGGAUUGAGUCACUCGCACAAGGUCACGCGAAUCGCUGGCGCCGCCAGGAAUAGCACCCGGAGCCUCCCGGCUCUCUCGAGCCCACCCUCGGCACUCCAGCCCGAAUUCCCCUGGUCUGAGACUUCUUCAAGCAAUGUGUCCUGCAAGGUCGGUUCCACACUUUUCAGUGGUGCAUUUGUGGUUAUGGUGAAGCUUAGUCUUGUGUCACUUGUUUCAAUGCUGUGCAGAGCAAAGCAGCAGGCUUGCUGCUUCCUGCAAGUAACUGCAACCAGGAGAUGGAGGUUUGCCCUCUGGGAGGAAAACCAGGAAUGUCAUUAACAGGAAGUCGGGAGAAAAGGAACCUCUUGGCGGAGAGAGGGACAGUACAGAGAGGAGGAGAGGCAGGGACCAGGAUGCCUGUCAUAGGUGUCUUUUGUCUCCUUACGUCAUAACUUGAGAAAGUCUGGAAGCCAAAUCACCAAAGCUGCUGUUUUAAACUGUCUUUGAGUGGAAAGGAAAUCCAUGGGAUAUCCCUGCUUUAUUCUGUAUGAGUGCUUUCUAAGGCCCAUGUAGAUAACUGAUAUCCAUAAAACAAACAUGCAUUAGUUGUCAUUUGAAAUUACAUUUCUGCCUGUAUAUUUUCCUGCUUUCCUGUUUUGAUGGCCAAGUUUUUAUAAAACCUCAGCUUUUGGUUUUAUAUUUCUGAGCUGCACAUAUAUAUACCAGCUUCAGGGCAAUUGUGCACCACAUUUAUACACACAAAUAUCUGAUACCCGUGACACCCUGCAAUUGGGGUAGGAGCCCUCACUCAGCCUUUAAAGCUGGAGCCCAGCUGGGGGCUGCUGGGCCACUGUGCUGGUGCUGUGUGUGUGAGGGACAAUCACCUUUUACAUGACGUGAAAUUACAGCUGAUGAAACCUCCACCUGUGUAUAAUGUAGGUUAGAAGGAAAUCUGGAAUAGCUGGCAUGUUACAGUGAACUACAGUUUGUUCUGUUGGGGUCCCAGGGAUGGCUCGUUACUGCAAAUGCUGUUUCUCUCUGGAAAACCUUUACUUGCAGUAAAGAGGCAAACUGUAGUGAUUUGGCUGAAUGCAUAACAUCCCAAAAGUAACUCUGCAGUCCCUAAAGACAAGGCUGUUUGAGUCAGCUUUUAAUGAGAAGAAUACAAAGAAUUUGAUCCUUUAAAAAUCUAGCUUAAUUCAUUGUCUAAUUUUAGAGUACAGCUCCUCUACUACAGAUCCUAUCUGAGGGACAGCUCAGAAUCACUGAAGCCAAGGCCAACAUCCUAUCCCAUCCUGGUUUCACUAAAUCAGAUUUAUUUUGUUCCCCCAGUGGAUCU